rnacentral:tRNA from 1 species
GGCGCAGUCGCUCUGCUGGUCAUGGGCAGCCUGACCUUCACUCAGGACCUCCGUCGGUUCGAUUCCGACCUGCGUCA